ensembl:lncRNA
AUGUCUCUCAAGGGACAGCAUAUUGGAACACAAACAAGAACGUGAAGUGUUUUGAGUAUGGAUUCUUCCAUUCCAGUAAGGACUGGCUGUCAGCAGUUGUGUUUGAAGCACCACAAAGGCAUGGUGCUCUCUUUUUCAUAAAAUGGGAGUGUCAUAUCUCAGCACUGGGAGCUGUUACUUGAAACAGUGAAGCCACACUGGAAAUCCGUGAGAUAGGAAAGUUUUCCCUGGAUUGUUUGGUGCUUGUGGGAGCAUGGGUAUCUGGUGAGAAAAGAGCUGGUAUCCGCGGCUCAUCUUUCUCUAAAUACUUCAGGCAGUAGGUACAGCAGGGAGCAGAACCUCACCUCUGGAGGGUCCUUCCUACAUAGGGGCUGUUAUGGGUUUAGAGGUUGGAGUGCAAGACUCCAGGAUGGUUGGUGGCUGGGGAAGGCUGGGUGCUCUGCUCUUCGCUGAAAGAGUUAGGCAAACCUACCUUGAUGUAGGAGCUCCUUGUUCACAUUCUGCAUUUGUUCCUCCCCUCUUUUGCCUCUGGAGCUGGAGCACAUUGGAGCUCAACCAUCGGACAAGGAUUAGAGACUUGUGUGUUCUAAGGCAUUAAUAAAAAAUAUAUUCCAGGUGGAUUCUGUCUCUUAAACGCGUCAGUAGCAUUAAGGGUCUGUUGGGAUGUUCUGUCCAAGGAGAUUGGUCGGAGGUGUUGGAGCGAGCUGUGCUCAGCUGGACCUGGCAGCAAAACUGGGAGAGGCUCACAAUGAGGGUAGGAUAUCAACUCUGCACGUGAAUCCUGGCUCAACUUUUCUGGAUCUUCUUCUUGCUUUCCCAAGGAAGGUUACACGAGAAGCUCUGAAUCCCUGUGCUGCAGCAGGAAGUGUUUCGGAGGGACUGAGCAACUCAGGAGCAACUCAGUCCUGUGGGUAGCAGCACUGCACUUGCUGCAAUGGUAAUGAAGAAGAUCAGAUUGGAAUCCAUAGCUUCUUAGCUUCCUUGGGUCAGAGCCUGAGCUCUGUAUUAGCAGAGCUCCUUGUUCUUGGGGCCACUAUAUGAAUAAUAACACCAUCAAAAGAUUUUUCUAUACAGGUCACAAGGAAUCUGGCUGGGUUCUUGCACAAUUUUACUUCUUUUGCAAGUCACGUACAAGUGAGAAUGUUUUGCCUUUGCAUAAUCAUUCAAGUUAGUUUUUUUCCUGACCAAACCAGCACCUCCAUUCUUCUACCCCCAGUUUCUAGCAAGAAAAACAAUGCAGAGGUUUUGGGAAGAGUAUUCGGUUGUUAAUUCCUUUUCCAGAGGAAAACCAUCUCUUCACAGGAUGUGAGUGCCAGAAAUCCCAAGAGCCACUUUGAGGGUGGUAAGGUAUUGCCAUGAGCUGCAAUGCCAAUUCUGUGCGCACAUGCUGUGUUAUUGCUGAUGCUGACAUUCCCUAAUCUAAUCUCACACAUUGUGAUGCUUAUGCCAGCCUGCUCUAGGAUGAGCUCCUCAGCGUCUUUAAUUGGUGGGAAUAGACAGGUCCACUGUCUGCAUGUUUGAUAUGUGUGCAGUUUUCCAGCAGGCUUGUUCUUUUCUUUUUGUGUUGCUCCUUGAGUGCAACUUGGCAUGGUUUUGGGGGUGUUUUGGUAUUUUAUUGAUGUUGCUUUCAAGGCAGAUAUGUUUUCUUUCCCUUGAAAGCUAUGGAAAAACCUAAAGCUUCUUAAAAAAUAAAAAAAAUAAAGCCAUUCA